GAGGGAUUUAGUGUAGGUCAGCAGAACUUCAAAAGAAAGGAGAGUUUUAGGUAUAAUUUCUUCAAAACUCCUUCUCCCUGUUUUGAGCACUUUCUCUGCUGAAACAGAAAGUAUUCUCCUUCUGCAUUUGAAUCACUCCCAUGAUUAACGAAUCACUCCAGCGGAGUCAAAUGUCCUCAGUUCAAUUACCUUUCUCAAGGACACACAGGUCAAUUGCUUCUCCUUCUCCAUAAAUAGUAAAGUCAAACGAGACUAUUUCUUGGAAUUUAACUCGAAAUAUCUUCAGCAAGAUUAAGAGUUUCACAUAGGGCCUAUGACUAAUGACAACAAUCCAUUCUGAGCUCAUUACACAAACCCGUAUACAGAACAUUUAUCCUUUCUGAAAAGAACAAUGAAGUGCUUCAGGAGAGGGGUCCCUCAGGAGCUGUGCAUAAACACCUGGAGAUUUACAGUGAAGUCAAAGAAGAAAUGGAAAAGGCCUUUGCCCUUUCUCUGCAUUUGUUGAUGGUUUCUCAUAAUAUAAAAUACUCCUUUAGCAAAGGCUAGUUCCAAGUCCUGGUCUCCAGAAACAGUGUGAUUGAUUGAUUUGGAUUGUUAUAGAAAACAAUGGUACAGGGAGAGCUGGAAUGCUUCCUUUGUUUUCUAAUGGAUUUCUCAUCCAGAUUCAUGGCAAGCCCUGAACUGAAGACAUGAUGUGCAGCAUGCUCAACUGUAAUUGCUUGGAGAGUGGCAGGAGCGCGCAGGCCUCUCGGGAGCUCCCCAGGGUGGAGCCUGCGCUGGAGGCGGGACUGGAUCCCGGCAGCCUGGAGUCCCCAGGGCGCGGCUCGCCGUUGGUUCUGUCCAUGCAAAGCCUCGCGGGCCAGAGGACACGGAAAGCGUGGCCUGGGCGGGGCCGCCUGCCCGACUCCUCAGGCAUGGAAUGGGAGGACAGGGGCAACAGAGGAGGGUGGCGGCAAGUCCUGACUUCACAGGUGUGAGUGCUCCGAGCCCUCUGUGGUUGGGGUGGGGUAAGGAAUACAAAAGCGGUGGAGGUCCUUAGUGACAUUUCCCGAAGAAGGCAGAAAUCUGUGUGGACCAGGAGAGGCGUUUUGUGUCCUUUUUUUCUUUAUAGAUGCCUCACGUGCACUAGAGCUACGGCUGCCUCCCUGGGAAUAUUCCUCUGCAGGCCUGUCCCUCACACACCAGGCCACUUCUAACAGAUGGGCCACUCCUCAACACGUGGCACCUGGGGCUGGCGUCAGUCCCAAGACGGAGGCCAAAGCUUAAACUCCCAGCAUCAGGCACGGGGCGUGUCACCCGGAUGCUAGGGACCAGCUCUCACUCCUCAGGGGUGCAAACAUAAAGUGCUGCAUUCUUGCAUAUGGACUAGUCACUGCAGCAUCACCGUGUUAGUCUAAGGCAUUAGGAGCUCCUCCUUGGCGCGGGUGUUUUGUAGCAGAGGCUGCCAGCUGGCGGGUCACCCAGAGCGGGUCGGGUCCCCAGCGACCCCACAGCCCCCGCCUUGGAACCCCCAGGCUGCCUGGGUCCUCAGGAAAGUCGCAAGGACUCCACUCAGGAACCCUGUGUGUGGUAGGCGCAGACCAGAGCAGAAACGCAGAGGGAUUUAGAAGACGCUCAGAAGAACGCAUGCAAAUGAAGUGCAUUUACCUUGCUUGGUUGUUUGGGUCUAUAUCCUAAUUCCAAUUCUUCUGAGUGAUUUGCAGGAGACUGCCCUGCGAACCUAAGCAGAAUUCCGAGAAAACCCCAUCCAGGGGUCUCUGUUCCUCACUCAGUAUCAUCUUGACUAGUGUUCUUCUCUUCAGAGAUUUACAUUAAAACGGACUCUGAUAAAGAACAGCAGCUCUGUGACAAAAUUCCACAGUGCGUGGCGGUGGCACUCCCAGGUCUGGACUUUGUGUCCUCCCGGUGAGGACCGAGUUCCUGGUCCUGUGCUGGGCCGACUGUGGGCCUUGACAAAGACACCGCCUCCACUUCCACCCAGUGGAACAUCUGUACCGUCCUGUGAAGAUUGCCAGCCUCUCUGUGAUAACAAACAAGGAAACCCUGAGGCUUAAUACAAAAUUAUACUAAUAACAGUAUGCCUCACUCAUGAGAGUCCUCUCCAGCAAGGACUCAGGGAUCCGCCUGUUUCCAACUUCCGGCUCCAGCAUCUCAACGCCAGGCUUCCACCAUUAUCAGGGUGAGCGGUGAAAUCAUUUGGAAAACUGUUCACUCUUCUGUGCUUCUCUUUGGAAGUCACGCGCUGCUUCUGCCUAAAGCCUGCUGAGCAGAACUGGCCAUUCACUUGCGUGACUGAAGUGGGUUCAGAAAUGAGGGAGAGUAAAUGGAUAUCCCGUGGUCACUAAAUACCUUUGCCAAACACAGCAUAUGCAACCUGUGUUAGUUUUCCAUUGGUGUGUAACAAAUUUCCCCCACUCCAAACAGCUUUAAACUGCAAACACUUUUUAUUUCACACGGUCUCUGAGAGUCAGGAACCUGGAAGGAGUUUUCCGGGGUUUCUGAGUCAGGGUCUCUGAUGGGAAUGCAGUCAAGUUGUCCGCUGAAAUUGCAGUUAUCCGAAUGCUUGCUUGGGCUAGGGGAUCCUCAUCCACGGUGGUACACACACACACACACACACACACACACACACACACACACACACGGUUGUUGGCAGGAGGCCUCCAUUCCUCACCAUGUGGUCUUAUAGAGCUGUGUGUGUUCUCAUGACAUGGCAGUUGUCUUCCUCUAGAGGAAGUAAUCUAGGAGAGCAAGUAGGAAGACAAUUCCUUUUAUGACCUUAUCUGGGAAAUUACACAGGCUACUUUCAUCAAAUUCUAUUCUGCAGGGGCAAAUGACUGCAUCUAACCAACACUCAAGAGGAAGAUAAUCAAACUCCACCUUUUGAAUGGAAAAGUAUCAGUCAAUUUGUGGACAUUUAUUUAAAGCACCAAAGAACUCCCCAAUAGAGGACAUCACAAAGUUCAACCCGAUCUUUGUAUUCUGCUUAAAGUUUAGGAACUUGGGGUGAUAUGAAGGCAACUCCAUCAAGCCCAAUAUGGCUACUUUUAGUCCAGAAAACUAGAUAACAAAAAGGUACGUUUUCUGAAAUCUCUUACCUUACCCCCAACACACAAUAAACAAUAUAGGGGAAACAGGAAAUUUCCCUGGGAAAACUCUUUGAGGGCCACCUACCCAUUGGGCAAAAGAUGAUGGUUCACUAUACAAUGUUUCUCCCUUUCUGAAUAUCAUCCUUAUCUUUUAUUCUCUGUAGCAAAAUCUUGUCCACUUUUGGGUGGUCGUUUUUUUACUAUCCUCCUUGUCCAUAUCUGAAAAAAGCAUAAAGGCAUAUACCGUCUUUGAGGGCUUCAAAACUUUCACAAAUCACUUUCUGAUAAUAAAUUAUAGACCAAAGGGUUAUUCCUAGGCUCAGCAAGUCUAGGAUUUUUUUAUAUAAGGCUCACGAUUUCUUUCUUCCGACAUUCAACUUGCAAAAAAAAAAAAAAGAAAAGAAAAGAAAAGAAAACACCCAGUGGGCUUUUUUAUGUCUUUGCCUGUGGUCGAUCCAUAACCUUAGUUUCUGUCAACUUCUAAUUCUCAAAGAUGUUUUUUGUUAUUUUCUCUUACGUAUACUCCUUACACACAGCUGUUUCUUCUAAGUUAAUGGGCAAUCUUGGGGUUUGCAUAACCAGGAAUAAUAAGUAGAAAGCAAUGCCCAAAUCUGCAGUUACAGUCAUUACAGGACACAUACCCUCAGUCUCAUGUUUAACCUAAAUCACUUGAGCCUGUGUUUCAGAGGCUUUUUCAGAAAUAUCUCUUUAUUUAGAGAACUAUAGUUAUUGGUCUUUCUCAUAUUUGAAAAAGUUAAAUUGUUACACUUUUUCUAGAAUCUUUUAUUAUUUCUGCUUGCAUAUUGACCGUUAUUUGCAGAGCUCACAUUUGUGUGUGUGUGUUGUACCUUGCAAAAAGCAGCCAAAACCAACUAUAUUAUACAGUAUUAUACUAUUGUUGGGAUAAUUUCUUUGUCCUUUCCCACAAAGAAGCCAGAUUAACAUAUACAUAAUUCAUGUCCCAAGACAUGCAAGUGAGAGUUUUACCUUUUUAAAACAUUUUAGGUGUCAAAGUUUGUACAUUUGGGAUUGUGUUUAUCAUAUAGCCUAGCCUAGCCUAGAUUAAUGCAGCACUAGUACCAGGUGUCCUGUGCUGCUUUUUAAAAUCCUAACACAUGCAUCCAAAGAAGAUCUAUAAACAGCCAACAAGCACACGGAAGGAUUCUCAACGUUACUAGUCAUGAUGGAAAUGCAAAUCAAAACCACACAGAGACAUCACUUCACACCUACUAGAAUGGCUAUAUUUUUUAAAAAUGGAAUAUUACCUGUGGGUGAGUAUGUGAAGAAAUUGGAACCUUCAUGCUUCAUACUUACUAGUGAAAUUGUAAAAUGUUUCAGCUGCUAUGGCAGACAUCUGGCAGAUUCAGGUAAGGAAUUAGAACUGGAACACUAGGGAUCAGAGGCUCCCAGAGUGGAAUGAUCAAUGGUGGCCGUGGCUAGGACUGUUGUGGCAAUUAUAGGAAUGGCUGAUUCUCUGAAUGCCAUAUGGAGGAGGAGGGACCAGUUACUGGAAAUGGGAAGGGAAGGGAGAAUCUAUCCAGAAACAUUGUUUCCGGAACAUGGUGCUUACAAAUUUUUAAUGGUGUAAUUUCUAAAGAUAUGUGGUAUUAGGGAAAAAAAAGAAAAA
rnacentral:lncRNA from 1 species